UUUCUCCCUCUCUGGCCCCAGUGGUGCCAGUCCUGUUGGACUUGUCCUUACUGCCAUAGUAGCUGUGGCUUACAAGGUGGCAUUACGCUUUGAGGGACCAUUCACUGAACAGAUCUAUCAGGAGAGGAGUCAGCGCCACAAGCAUGAUUAAUCACCUCGCAGACGCUUCCUGCUCCUGGUUUGGCUGAGGAUUCUCAUCCUGUCAGGUGGACAGACAGAUGGACUGACCGACAGACAGACUUCUCAGCAGCCUUGAUCACUAAUCCACCUCCAGCGUGGAUACAAAGGAAACAUUUACACUGCAUCUCCAAGUGUUCCUCUUCUAAUUUAGUUUAAACUCAUCUGAAGAAUGUGGAAGCUACACUGAGCCAUUUUUCUAUUGCAAUUCUGAGCCACAUGACCAUGACAUACUUAAUUAGGCUAAAGAUGUCAAGUAAAAGAAAUAGUAGGAGUACUACUAUAUGCAUAAAAAUCAGUUGGACUCACCCUUUUAAAUUCCUCAACCUCAACUGAAAAGAAGCGAUAGAAAUCCAACUAGUUCAUUCAUUUUACAUGUUCUACCAUCCACCGCUCACUUACUUCUCAGACCAUAGACAAUAGAAAUACAUUUUUCUUGCUCAGAUGUUCUGUUAUAUGAAUGACCCAGUGAUGUUAAUUACUUUUGUGAUGUUAAUAACAUUUCAUAUCAUUCCAGGUUUAUCUUCCUAUCCUGAUGUAUUACUGUGUUAACACAAACAGCCUUUGGACCUACAGACACUGUUAUUUUUGUACAUAAAAUGCCGUAAAAAAGAAGUGAUAGAAGUCCAACUAGUUCAUCAUAGCAGCUAGCAUAUUUCUCAAAACAUUUUUUCGCUAGUUCAUCACUGCCACAAGUUCUCGACUGAUUACAAAUACUGCAGUUCUUAUAAAAACCCGACAUGACGACCACACUUAAUGACAGCACUGCUAGAUUUGAUGGUGCACCUGUUUAAAGUGACAUCAUCCUGGAUCAGCUGUGUCCUUCCAGACAAAACAAAACAACUAAGAGAUGAGGAUCAUGAAGACCUCAGACAUUCAGAAUAGAAUUCUAGUUCUGGCUUCAUAAUGUACCUAUGCAAACCAUUCCCAACUGGACAACACACACUGUUUGGUGAUGUACUGUACAUUGAUGGGGUUUAUUUUUAUGUAAUAAAAGAAUGAGUCAGGGUGCAAAGCA